UAAGGAAUAUUGGUCAAUGGACGCAAGUCUGAACCAGCCAUGCCGCGUGAAGGAUGAAUGUCCUCUGGAUUGUAAACUUCUUUUAUCGAAGACGAAAUGUAGGUUUUCUAACUUACUUGACGGUACUCGAUGAAUAAGCACCGGCUAACUCCGUGCCAGCAGCCGCGGUAAUACGGAGGGUGCAAGCGUUAUCCGGAUUCACUGGGUUUAAAGGGUGCGUAGGCGGAUGUGAAAGUCAGUGGUGAAAUCUCAGAGCUUAACUCUGAAACUGCCAUUGAUACUCUGCAUCUUGAAUUUUCUGGAGGUUAGCGGAAUAUGUCAUGUAGCGGUGAAAUGCUUAGAUAUGACAUAGAACACCGAUUGCGAAGGCAGCUGACUACGGAUGAAUUGACGCUGAGGC
rnacentral:rRNA from 1 species